UCGCAGUGAUAUAGUUAUACUGCACGUCGAGCGGAAGAUGGUAGCUGGCUCCGUGAUGUUAGCGGCGGACGGGUGAGUGCACGUGGGUAACCUGGCUGUAGGACUGGGAUAACUCCGGGAAACCGGGGCUAAUACCGGAUGGUUGUUUGAACCGCAUGGUUCAGACAUAAAAUGUGGCUUCGGCUACCACUUACAGAUGGUCCCGCGGGACAUUAGCUAGUUGGUGAGGUAACGGCUCACCAAGGCGACGAUGCGUAGCCGACCUGAGAGGGUGAUCGGCCACACUGGGACUGAGACACGGCCCAGACUCCUAUUUGAGGUCUUCCCCACGAAUCUUCCGCAAUGGACGAAAGUCUGACGGAGCAACGCCGCGUGAGUGAUGAAGGUUUUCGGAUCGGGAGGUCUGUUGUUAGGGAAUAACAACUGCCGCUCAAAU
rnacentral:rRNA from 1 species